GGCUUGUUGGUCUAGAGGUUAUGACGCUCGUCUUCUGUGCGUGAGACCCGGGUUCGAAUCCCGGACGAGCCC